rnacentral:tmRNA from 1 species
GGGGCUGAUUCUGGAUUCGACGGGAUUUGCGAAACCCAAGGUGCAUGCCGAGGGGCGGUUGGCCUCGUAAAAAGCCGCAAAAAAUAGUCGCAAACGACGAAAACUACGCUUUAGCAGCUUAAUAACCUGCUCUGAGCCCUCUCUCCCUAGCUUCCGCUCUUAAGACGGGGAUCAAAGGGGUUCAACUCCCGCCAGCUCCACCA